rnacentral:rRNA from 1 species
GCGACCCCNGGAUGGGCGAGGCCACCCGCCGAGUUUAAGCAUAUCAAUAAGCGGAGGAGAAGAAAC